rnacentral:rRNA from 1 species
UACAGAGGGUGCAAGCGUUAAUCGGAUUUACUGGGCGUAAAGGGUGCGUAGGUGGUUGAUUAAGUGAGAUGUGAAAGCCCCGGGCUUAACCUGGGAAUUGCAUCUUAUACUGGUCAGCUGGAGUGAAGUAGAGGGUAGUGGAAUUUCCGGUGUAGCGGUGAAAUGCGUAGAUAUCGGAAGGAACACCAGUGGCGAAGGCGGCUACCUGGACUUACACUGACGCUGAGGCACGAGAGCGUGGGGAGCAAACAGG